AUAUAUAUAGUGAGGGGGAGAGAGAGGGGUCCAUCAAUGUUAGCAACUUCCAGAUGAUGAAUAAGUAUUGAAAGCAGAGGGGCGAGUGUGCUGUUAUUUCUACUGAAUAAUAAUUUAGUAGGGGUUUCUCUCUCUCUACAUACACAUACACUACUCAAUAAUAGAGAGAGAUUAGAGAGAUAUAUACAUACAGCGGGAAGGGAGAAAAGUGGCCAAACGAGAUGACGCAGAACGGGAAAUUGAUGCCCAAUCUGGAUGAGAAGACUACCAAGGUGCUGAAUUUGACGGUCCUGCAGCGAAUCGAUCCCUUCGUGGAGGAAAUUCUCAUUACUGCCGCUCAUGUCACCUUCUACGAGUUUAACAUCGACACUAGCCAAUGGAGUCGGAAGGAUGUGGAGGGUUCCCUUUUUGUUGUGAAAAGGACUACACAACCGCGGUUCCAGUUUAUAGUAAUGAAUCGUCGGAACACUGAUAAUCUGGUGGAGAAUCUCUUGGGAGAUUUUGAGUAUGAAGUGCAAGUUCCGUAUUUAUUAUAUCGAAAUGCGUCUCAGGAGGUAAAUGGAAUAUGGUUCUACAAUGCACGUGAAUGUGAAGAGGUUGCAAAUCUAUUUAGCAGGAUACUUAAUGCAUAUUCAAAGGUGCCCACGAAGUCAAAAGUAUCUUCCACCAAAAGCGAGUUUGAAGAACUUGAAGCAGUUCCAACACUUGCGGUAAUGGAUGGUCCUCUAGAGCCACCAUCUUCUGCUACCCCUAACGUCGCAGAUGUUCCUGAUGAUCCUUCCUUUGUGAACUUCUUCAGUACUGCAAUGAAUAUUGGAGGUGCUCCAGAUGCAGCAAUUUCUGCUCAGCCUUACCACUCCUCUGGAACUGUUAUUUCUACUUCUCGUCAACAAAAUGUUGGUUUGCCCACGUUAGCAUCUGCCCAGAAACCAUCUAAUAUAUCUGCUUCUACCCCUCUAAUAUCUAUCCUUGACAGCACUGAACCCAAUGCUAUAGCAAAGCAUUCAACUGAUCUGGUAAAGCCAUCAUCCUUUUUUGGGCCACCUCCUUCCUCAGCUCCUCUGAUUAUGCCUUCCAUAUCAUCAUCUAUGCCAACUGCACCUCCGCUAAAUCCUCCUGGAAAUCUACACAGACCUUAUGGUGCACCUUUACUUCAGCCAUUUCCACCACCAACACCUCCACCAUCACUCACUCCGACUUCAGUCCCUACACCAAAUUAUGGGCCAGCUAUCAGCAGAGAAAAAGUCCGGGAAGCAAUUCAAAUGCUCGUUCAGGACAAUCAAUUCGUCGACUUGGUUUACCGAGCAGUGUUGAAUGCACACCAGUCAUGAGAAGAAUAUAGCUGGUCAUGUUUCCAUCUCCUGCCUUUCCUCUCAUAAGAGGGGACUUCGUUGAAGGAUACGGGAGAAAUCAACUCCUGCUGAUCGAUGAUGUAGUUUCUUGAAGUUCGGAUCUUGUUUUUGUCUCCAAUAUCUUUGGUUUCUGGGUUUUGGUGUUCCGACCCUUAUGAACUGGACGAAAUACAAGUGGCUAGAAGAUUAGGUAUAUGCUAUUGCAAGAAAAAAUCAAUUUGCCCUUUAAAGGCUGGGAUACAGAACCCACCAAAUUUAGGUUGGAUGGUAAUGAACGAUGACAGUUUCAAAAUGGAUAGGGGAAGGGAAUGGCCCCUCAUGCCAUAAGUAAAGUCCAAAGCGGAAUGGCCCCUCACGUCAAGAGAACUUGAUACAAGAGUUUACUAACUACAAUGAGUCAUGAGCACCAAGGGCACUGGUACGAUGAGAAAUUUGUGCACUAUCUUGAAAAAACAUUGAGAGUUUUUGAGAUUUCUUAGUGCAUGGUCCUGUUUUUUAAAAUAAGGCAGGCACUGAUUUGAUGAAAGGUAAAUUGGUCAAUCCAUAGCAAGUCAAAAACAUGGAAAUCUGAGUUUACUAAAGGUCAUCUCCUUUUGAUAUCACAGCCAAAUUUGGAUGGACAUCAAGACAAUCCUGACUAUAGUAUCUAUCAUGUUAGAAUUCCCUUUCAGUAUUGAACUGCAGCGGGAGCUCUAUAUUCGUUGGGGUAAGGAGCAGCGGAAAGAUUACAAGAUCAAGCAAAAUUUUUCUGCCAGCUAAUCUGUCCCCUAAAACUAACACUUGAAGGGUGGAAAACAAGUGCUUUGUGAGCCUACCGUAGAUAGGGACCAUUGCAGGUGUUAUCCAAGAUUCAUGUCACA